UCCAAGCUGUGUGGCACUCUGCUCUAGUGGAACUCCAGCCAGCACUCCUGGAGUGAUAUUCGACAUUGCCUAAGAGGGGCUUUUUCUACCAACUUAAAGGGACAAAUUGAUAAAUUGCAGCUAGAGUUGCAUCAGCAGUUGCAGGACAUUCAACGCUUGACCAAGCAGGAGGUUUUUCAAACCCUCUGUGUUAAUCUUAGCUGGCUAAACCCCAAAAAUUGGUUUGAUGGACUUAACCUAAGAAUGUGGGUCUUUGGAGCCACUGGUUGUUUACUGAUUCAAAUAAUUCCUUGUGACUUGCCCCUGCU